AACGAACGCUGGCGGCAGGCCUAACACAUGCAAGUCGAGCGCGCCCUUCGGGGUGAGCGGCGGACGGGGGCGUAACGCGUGGGAACGUGCCCUUUUCUACGGAAUAGCCUCGGGAAACUGAGAGUAAUACCGUAUACGCCCUUUGGGGGAAAGCGUUAUCGGAAAAGGAUCGGCCCGCGUUGGAUUAGGUAGUUGGUGGGGUAAUGGCCUACCAAGCCGACGAUCCAUAGCUGGUUUGAGAGGAUGCUCAGCCACACUGGGACUGAGACCCGGCCCAGACUCCUACGGGAGGCAGCAGUUGGGAAUCUUAGACAAUGGGGGCAACCCUGAUCUAGCCAUGCCGCGUGAGUGAUGAAGGCCUUAGGGUUGUAAAGCUCUUUCAGCUGGGAAGAUAAUGACGGUACCAGCAGAAGAAGCCCCGGCUAACUCCGUG
rnacentral:rRNA from 1 species